rnacentral:lncRNA from 1 species
AUACCCUACGUCCUGUGUUUUGCUGGAUUGUAUUGCUUUGUUCUGGUGCGAAUAGAUUGGUUUUGGAUCUCUUGAACAUGAAUGCACUACUUGUUAGCUAUCUAGAAAUCACAUUGAUCUAUAUUUUUGUUACAUGUGCUCUAAUGUCUUUCCUUUUCUUUCAUAUCUUGUUGCAGCUUAGGCACUAGCUUGAGGACAAAGAUGUCAGCUUGGUGGUGUGUCAUCAUCCAAUGUGGUAGGUAUAGUAUAAUUUUGGCAAUUAUAUGAGCCACUAUGAAACUAGGGUGUGCCAGUUCUCAAUGAUCGAGGUCAAAGAUAUUAGGUUCU